AGAAGAUGAAAGAAAAGGUGUUCACCCAAACACACACAUGCAAACGUACAUCAGACUCACGUCUCAGCAGCUCCACCGUUGAGUUAGCCAACACGGCUGUCGGCUAGAAGACUUAUGCUAAUAUGACUAGCAGAUAAUUUACAAUGAAUUUCCUAUUUCAAUAGUUCACUUUUUCAAUAUUUCUUUAGAAAUACAUAAAAAAUAAUUUCUCUCCUCUCUGUGUAAAUUGUUAGCUAACUCCAAGGUUUCUAUUGCCUAACUCCACUGCUUGAUGUCUGGUGCUACAAGGGAGGGGAAUAACAACUCUGUCAAAACACUUCUGUGUGUUGAAUCUCCCAGGCUCUCAUUAGCAUUAGCAAGCUGCCCUUUUACACCGUUACCACCAACCUGGGCGAAGGAAUGUAGAAUCCACAGCACUGUAUGAAAUGAGAGUAAGCAUUCCCCUUGUGUCCUACAUACUCAUAAACUGGUCAAUACGGACCGCGUGGUUUCUACUAGUACUACUGAACUAGGUCAGGCUUCGACCCCUGGUAUCGUUUAAUUAAGCAAUAAGAGCCAAGCGGGUGUUGGUAUGUGGCCCAUAUACCACGGCUUAGGGCUGUUUCUUGAAACACGCAAUGAGGAGUGCCUGAACACAGCCCUUAGCCGCGGUAUAUUGGCCAUAUAUCACGAACCCCCAAGGUGCCUUAUUGCGUUUAUAAACUGGUUACCAAUGUAAUUAGAGCAGUAAAAACACGUGUUGUCAUAACCGUUGUAUAUGGUCUGAUUAUACCACAGCUUCAUCGUCAGAGCUCCAACCACUAGACUACCCUGCCACCCCACCGUUGAUAUGGUCUUGAUAUACCACAGGCUGUCAGCAUUCCGAGCUCCAACCACUAGACUACCCUGCCAUCCCAACCAUUGUAUAUGGUCUGAUAUACCACAGCUGUCAGCAUUCAGAGCUCCAACCACUAGACUACCCUGCCAUCCCAAACGUUGUAUCUGGUUGAUAUACCACAGCUGUCAGCGUUCAGAGCUCCAACCACUAGACUACCCUGCCACCCCAACCGUUGUAAUGGUCUGAUAUACCACAGCUGUCAGCAUUCAGAGCUCCAACCAUAGACUACCCUGCCACCCCAACCGUUGUAUAUGGUCUGAUAUACCACCGCUGUCAGCAUUCAGAGCUCCAACCACUAGACUACCCUGCCAUCCCAACCGUUGUAUAUGGUCUGAUAUACCACAGCUGUCAGCUUUCAGAGCUCCAACCCACUAGACUACCCUGCCAUCCCAACCGUUGUAUAUGGUCUGAUAUACCACAGCUGUC
rnacentral:lncRNA from 1 species